GGAGGAUGGAAAGGACACGUCCACAUGUGACGCUCUUUGGUGGUCUGUGAACCCAAGAGAACAGACAGAUUUAUGGUUGUGCCAACGCAGAAGCAGAAACCAGCAAAGACUCACCUUCACCUUUCCACUGACAAGCGCUCCCAGAUUCCCGGGGUGGUCAGUGUUCCUGAUGUCCAGGUCGUGUGGCGACACGUACAGCUUCUUGUUUCUGUGGCAGAAGAACUGCAGCUCCGUCAGCCCGACCUGCAGCGCGUUCCCCCAGUUUGACAGGAUCUCCAUGGUGACAUACAACGCAGGGGUGACCUCGGCCGAGGACGACCUUCUCUGCAACGGAAAAUUGAUAAAAGAGUUGUUUCUGUGAUCAAAUCUGUCUGUGUAUCACUGAGAGGAGUAUCAGGACUGGCACUCUUAGUGACUCACCAACUGCUUGCCAUUGUCUGUUUUGACACUCUGAGGAAUGUUGUAGCCGGGUCCACCUUCAAGUUUCUCUAAGGCUGAGAGCAGUUUCUGUUGUUGGCUGAAAAGAAGGACAAGAACAACCUCAGCUCUGCUGCUUCGCCUCCUGUCCCUGACCUUCAUUGCAGUGGUAAAAAGGCCACUGACAUAGUGGUUUGUUCUGCCACUGAGUGAUGUACAAUAACCAUCAGGGGACAGAAUGUACUGUAAUAACAGGAGGGCGGAAAGAUUUGGGGCUAUUUCUCUCUCUGACUGGUAGUCAAGGUUCAGCUUAAUAUUGACUGUGUAAUAGAUUUAAAAUGCGAUGCAGCAUUAACACACAACGCCAUCAAAUGAUUUACUAUGCUGCAUCAUAUUUACGUUACAUUUUAACUUGCAUAGAAGGUAAAAAUGAUUAAUUAAAUUGUGGAGUUUCCGAAUUGCUACUGGCAUUGAUUCAAGCUGCAAUUUAGUUUGAAAAUGAUAGAAGAAGUGUUUUAUCAACAUACCUGGGGCCCAUAAGAGUGAUUUUCUGCAUGGCCAAAGUAACACUGUUCUCAUUCUUGUCAGGGAUGUUGUGGUGCACUAAGUCAUUCAAGAUCUGGUGCGUCCUGCCCUAAAUGGGGGUAAAAAGCAGAAUAGAAGAUUAAGAGAUAAAAAAGCUUUCCAAAAAGGGGGUUUUAUGUAUUUCAGAAAAACAUUGUUGUAUUAAAAUCAAGAACACAUAUAUUAUAAGUAGAUUACAUAGAAGCAAAUGGUAAAAGUGGAAUUAAUCGCAAAAUUGUGAGAGGUGCACUGUGGGGCAAGCAGACCAUGUUGCGACUGAAGAGCUCAGGACUGUGCACGCGGUUGUUCUCUCUCUGGAUGGCCUGGUGAAUCCUGCCCACCUUCUCUUCAGGGUCUCGCUCCUCAAAAGAAGCCUUUCUGACAGCUGACAGUGGCCUUUCCACACGACUUCUUGGCCCUAAAGAAAGAAUAUGUUUGUUUUUUUGGCCCAGCAACAUCAAUGCAUCAGUCAAACCUUUUUUCCAGAUUUAUUCCAAAAAAAAACAAAAAACUAUGACUCUCAGGUCAUACUCACUCUGACUUUCCCAGCUGUCGUCUGAAGGCGGCCUGUCUAACGUCUUACUCUUCACCAACAUGGGCUUGGUGGGUAUAAAGGUGUCAGAGUUUUCUUUUCUUUUUGCAGACAGAGAGCGUUCAAUCUUACGACCUGGAACAAAAAGUUGACAGAGUCGGCAUCUUUGAAAGGAACAAAGGAAAAUGUUUGUGUGAUAUGCGUAUUGUGAAUGUGUCUGUGUUGUAUUAUUUAAUGAAUGAAGGCAUGAAGUGCACGGAAUAAAUAUGAGAGCUGAAAGUUGCUACGUGUUCGAGUACAAGGAGAUGACCAGUCUGGAUAAAACUUAAGAAUUUGACGUCAAUUUUUCAUUAAAGUCAUAUUGAAAUCAUUCAGAAA